CCUGGGAACUGCGUUNUGAACUGGGUGACUAGAGUGUGUCAGAGGGAGGUAGAAUUCCACGUGUAGCAGUGAAAUGCGUAGAGAUGUGGAGGAAUACCGAUGGCGAAGGCAGCCUCCUGGGAUAACACUGACGUUCAUGCCCGAAAGCGUGGGUAGCAAACAGGAUUAGAUACCCUGGUAGUCCACGCCCUAAACGAUGUCGAUUAGCUGUUGGGCAGCAUGACUGCUUAGUAGCGAAGCUAACGCGUGAAAUCGACCGCCUGGGGAGUACGGUCGCAAGAUUAAAACUCAAAGGAAUUGACGGGGACCCGCACAAGCGGUGGAUGAUGUGGAUUAAUUCGAUGCAACGCGAAGAACCUUACCUGGUCUUGACAUGUACGGAACCCUCCAGAGACGGGGGGGUGCCUUCGGGAGCCGUAACACAGGUGCUGCAUGGCUGUCGUCAGCUCGUGUCGUGAGAUGUUGGGUUAAGUCCCGCAACGAGCGCAACCCUUGUCAUUAGUUGCCAUCAUUAAGUUGGGCACUCUAAUGAGACUGCCGGUGACAAGCCGGAGGAAGGUGGGGGUGACGUCAAGUCCUCAUGGCCCUUAUGACCAGGGCUUCACACGUCAUACAAUGGUCGGUGCAGAGGGUAGCCAAGCCGCGAGGUGGAGCCAAUCUCACAAAACCGAUCGUAGUCCGGAUUGCACUCUGCAACUCGAGUGCAUGAAGUCGGAAUCGCUAGUAAUCGCAGGUCAGCAUACUGCGGUGAAUACGUUCCCGGGUCUUGUACACACCGCCCGUCACACCAUGGGAGUGGGGGAUACCAGAAGUAGG
rnacentral:rRNA from 1 species